AUAGGCCCUGAUCAGGAAGUGAAGACAACAUGACUGUGGAGAAGAGAGCCGGGAAGGGAAGAAGCUCAAUAAUGAGUGCAUUCUAGGCCAGCUUCCCCAGUGAGAGCAUCAAGGUUGAUGGAAGAACAUGAGGGGAAGUGGCAUGAGAGCAAGCCCGUGCUCUCCUCUACAGAGACAGAAGCCAGACAUGCCUUUUCCAUGUGCUGAUCUCCAAGUCCCAGCUAGUAGGUCACAUGACAUCACAGUCCUGCUCUUCCUCAAUGGUGAGCCUGCUGGAGCCUACCUUGCCUGAAUGCACUAAGAGCCAAG
rnacentral:lncRNA from 1 species